GGUGUUGUGGUUCAGCGGUAGAGCACACUCGCCUAGCAUAUGCGGGACCCUGGGUUUGAUCCUCAGCACCACGU
rnacentral:tRNA from 1 species